rnacentral:rRNA from 1 species
GCAAGUCGAACGAGAAAGCCCUUCGGGGUGAGUACAGUGGCGAACGGGUGAGUAACGCGUGAGAAUCUGCCAAUCAGUGAAGAAUACCCUCGAGAAAUCGAGGCUAAUACUGCAUAAGUCCCUUCGGGGAGAAAGGUGGCCUCUUGCUACCGCUGAUUGAUGAGCUCGCGUACUAUUAGCUUGUUGGUGAGGUAAAGGCUCACCAAGGCUAUGAUGGUUAACCGGCCUGAGAGGGUGACC